AGCUUCGGUAGGACACUGUCAUUGGAAGACAAGAGCGCCACGACUCAAAUCAAUGCAAGAAGACAAAAGGAAGGAAAAGAAUAUGAAAAGGGGGGAGGAACCCUCCGUAAAGACGAAUCCAGCUUCAUUGACCAAAUAAGUUUCAAGUACAAGAGAACAAAAGAAAUAUAUAUAUAUAUCACCACAAAGGAGAAAUACAAAGCUAAAGGUUCCGGACCUUUGGGGUAUAAGUAGAGGGGGUCGGCAUCCCCGG
rnacentral:lncRNA from 1 species